rnacentral:lncRNA from 1 species
GCACCUUAUGGUUACGUGUUUAUAAUGACCCAAACACUGUCCAUAUCACUAUUUUGCCAAGGUGGGUCAUUGGUGCAACCAUUGCUCACUAGAGUGUCGAAUACAAGAUCGAAGGCUAGGACCUACAAUAACAUACCACGGAGGAUAAGGAUGACACUAGCGAACCCGAAGAAGAAGGCUAGAGGGCAUUGAUAGGUGGGAGUCCUAGUGAGGAUGACACUGAAGAUAAAGUCUACAGGCUCGUACCUUCGAAUACACCUCCCGUUGUAUGUAGAAAUCCUCC